rnacentral:rRNA from 1 species
AUUGAACGCUGGCGGCAGGCUUAACACAUGCAAGUCGAACGAUGAAGAUAUAGCUUGCUAUAUCGGAUUAGUGGCGGACGGGUGAGUAACACUUAGGAAUCUACCUUUUAGCGGGGGAUAGCUCGGGGAAACUCGAAUUAAUACCGCAUAAUUUCUACGGAAUAAAGAGGGCUUUUAGCUCUCAUUAGAAGAUGAGCCUAAGUAAGAUUAGCUAGUUGGUGGGGUAAAAGCCUACCAAGGCGACGAUCUUUAGCUGGUCUGAGAGGAUGAUCAGCCACACUGGGACUGAGACACGGCCCAGACUCCUACGGGAGGCAGCAGUGGGGAAUAUUGGACAAUGGGGGCAACCCUGAUCCAGCCAUGCCGCGUGUGUGAAGAAGGCCUUUUUGUUGUAAAGCACUUUAAGCAGUGAAGAAGACCUAUUGAUUAAUACCCAAUAGCGAUGACAUUAACUGCAGAAUAAGCACCGGCUAACUCUGUGCCAGCAGCCGCGGUAAUACAGAGGGUGCAAGCGUUAAUCGGAAUUACUGGGCGUAAAGCGAGCGUAGGUGGUUAAAUAAGUCAGAUGUGAAAGCCCUGGGCUCAACCUAGGAACGGCAUCUGAAACUAUUUAACUAGAGUAGGUGAGAGGGAAGUAGAAUUUCAGGUGUAGCGGUGAAAUGCGUAGAGAUCUGAAGGAAUACCGAUGGCGAAGCAGCUUCCUGGCAUCAUACUGACACUGAGGCUCGAAAGCGUGGGUAGCAAACAGG